rnacentral:rRNA from 13 species
CGUCAUACAAUGGUCGGUACAGAGGGUUGCGAAGCCGCGAGGUGGAGCCAAUCCCAAAAAACCGAUCGUAGUCCGGAUUGCAGUCUGCAACUCGACUGCAUGAAGUUGGAAUCGCUAGUAAUCGCGGAUCAGCAUGUCGCGGUGAAUACGUUCCCGGGUCUUGUACACACCGCCCGUCACACCAUGGGAGUUGGUUCUACCCGACGGCCGUGCGCUAACCUUUUGGAGGCAGCGGACCACGGUAGGAUCAGCGACUGGGGUGAAGUCGAAACAAGGUAGCCGUAGGGGAACCUGCGGCUGGAUCAC